rnacentral:rRNA from 1 species
UACGUAGGGUGCGAGCGUUGUCCGGAAUUAUUGGGCGUAAAGGGCUCGUAGGCGGUUUGUCGCGUCGGGAGUGAAAACACCGGGCUUAACUCGGUGCUUGCUUUCGAUACGGGCAGACUAGAGGCAUGCAGGGGAGAACGGAAUUCCUGGUGUAGCGGUGAAAUGCGCAGAUAUCAGGAGGAACACCGGUGGCGAAGGCGGGUCUCUGGGCAGUAACUGACGCUGAGGCGCGAAAGCCAGGGGAGCAAAACGGG